rnacentral:rRNA from 1 species
CCUACGGGGGGCAGCAGUGGGGAAUAUUGGACAAUGGGGGCAACCCUGAUCCAGCCAUGCCGCGUGUGUGAAGAAGGCCCUCGGGUUGUAAAGCACUUUCAGUGAGGAAGAACGCCUGGUGGUUAAUACCCAUCAGGAAAGACAUCACUCACAGAAGAAGCACCGGCUAACUCCGUGCCAGCAGCCGCGGUAAUACGGAGGGUGCGAGCGUUAAUCGGAAUUACUGGGCGUAAAGCGCGCGUAGGUGGCUUGAUAAGCCGGUUGUGAAAGCCCCGGGCUCAACCUGGGAACGGCAUCCGGAACUGGCAAGCUAGAGUGCAGGAGAGGAAGGUAGAAUUCCCGGUGUAGCGGUGAAAUGCGUAGAGAUCGGGAGGAAUACCAGUGGCGAAGGCGGCCUUCUGGACUGACACUGACACUGAGGUGCGAAAGCGUGGGUAGCAAACAGGAUUAGAUACCCGUGUAGUC